AGUACAUGGUGUUUCAAAGAGUCGGACAUGGAUGAGCAUGACCAUGAAUAUCCUUUGUUUGAGAUAUCCUGAGGUAGAUGGAAAGCAACCAGGAACACAGAAUGCAGCCAUUGCCACUGCUUCCUAGGUGGAGAAAGGAAGUCACAGAUGAAGAUAUCUUCUCAGGUUGGAUCUCUUGCCCUUGGGAGUGCUGGAGAGAAUGCUGAAGCUUAGGUUGACUAGUCAGAGAAACAUUUGUGAAUGGAGGUAAUGGAUUUCCAGGGCUGUGGACAGGCC